rnacentral:rRNA from 1 species
AUUGAACGCUGGCGGCAGGCCUAACACAUGCAAGUCGAGCGGUAGCACAGAGAGCUUGCUCUCGGGUGACGAGCGGCGGACGGGUGAGUAAUGUCUGGGAAACUGCCUGAUGGAGGGGGAUAACUACUGGAAACGGUAGCUAAUACCGCAUAAUGUCGCAAGACCAAAGUGGGGGACCUUCGGGCCUCAUGCCAUCAGAUGUGCCCAGAUGGGAUUAGCUAGUAGGUGGGGUAACGGCUCACCUAGGCGACGAUCCCUAGCUGGUCUGAGAGGAUGACCAGCCACACUGGAACUGAGACACGGUCCAGACUCCUACGGGAGGCAGCAGUGGGGAAUAUUGCACAAUGGGCGCAAGCCUGAUGCAGCCAUGCCGCGUGUGUGAAGAAGGCCUUCGGGUUGUAAAGCACUUUCAGCGGGGAGGAAGGCGGUAAGGUUAAUAACCUCAUCGAUUGACGUUACCCGCAGAAGAAGCACCGGCUAACUCCGUGCCAGCAGCCGCGGUAAUACGGAGGGUGCAAGCGUUAAUCGGAAUUACUGGGCGUAAAGCGCACGCAGGCGGUCUGUCAAGUCGGAUGUGAAAUCCCCGGGCUCAACCUGGGAACUGCAUUCGAAACUGGCAGGCUAGAGUCUUGUAGAGGGGGGUAGAAUUCCAGGUGUAGCGGUGAAAUGCGUAGAGAUCUGGAGGAAUACCGGUGGCGAAGGCGGCCCCCUGGACAAAGACUGACGCUCAGGUGCGAAAGCGUGGGGAGCAAACAGGAUUAGAUACCCUGGUAGUCCACGCCGUAAACGAUGUCGAUUUGGAGGUUGUGCCCUUGAGGCGUGGCUUCCGGAGCUAACGCGUUAAAUCGACCGCCUGGGGAGUACGGCCGCAAGGUUAAAACUCAAAUGAAUUGACGGGGGCCCGCACAAGCGGUGGAGCAUGUGGUUUAAUUCGAUGCAACGCGAAGAACCUUACCUGGUCUUGACAUCCACAGAACUUUCCAGAGAUGGAUUGGUGCCUUCGGGAACUGUGAGACAGGUGCUGCAUGGCUGUCGUCAGCUCGUGUUGUGAAAUGUUGGGUUAAGUCCCGCAACGAGCGCAACCCUUAUCCUUUGUUGCCAGCGGUCCGGCCGGGAACUCAAAGGAGACUGCCAGUGAUAAACUGGAGGAAGGUGGGGAUGACGUCAAGUCAUCAUGGCCCUUACGACCAGGGCUACACACGUGCUACAAUGGCAUAUACAAAGAGAAGCGACCUCGCGAGAGCAAGCGGACCUCAUAAAGUAUGUCGUAGUCCGGAUUGGAGUCUGCAACUCGACUCCAUGAAGUCGGAAUCGCUAGUAAUCGUAGAUCAGAAUGCUACGGUGAAUACGUUCCCGGGCCUUGUACACACCGCCCGUCACACCAUGGGAGUGGGUUGCAAAAGAAGUAGGUAGCUUAACCUUCGGGAGGGCGCUUACCACUUUGUGAUUCAUGACUGGGGUGAAGUCGUAACAAGGUAACCGUAGGGGAACCUGCGGCUGGAUCACCU